rnacentral:lncRNA from 1 species
CAGCAAAUUAAAGAGCAAUACAAAGGCAAAGUUAUAAGUCAAAAUCCAACAAAAACGGACAUUGCUUUUUCAAAUCAAAAUCCAAAUACAUUGAACCAACCAACCAAUUACACCCUUUCUUUCUUCCCCUUUUUCUCACUAGUCACCUACCAAAUCAAGAUCCCAAAACUUCUUAUAUAUUCAUACAACCACCUCAAUUCCAUCACUACAAAAUUGAAGGACGUAACAAUAUAUUCAUUCUUACACUAAUACAUAUUUUUGUGCACUAAGUUUUCUAUUCUACCAUGGUUGUGACUUCACAAACAUUAGAAAUUACGGUUAUAUCUGGUGAAAAUAUUCAUGUAACGGAGGAUGCAUACGUUGUUGUUCGAGGUGAGUCUCUUAAUUGUUACACAACAAAAACGGUGAAAGAUAAUGAUAAUUGUGGGAAAAACUCGAGUUUUCUUUCAUGGAAUGAGAAGUUUUUGUUGAACAUGCCAUUGCAUGCAAGGUCAAUCACUUUUGAGGUGCAAUGCAAGAAGUUUAAAAGUGUACGUCCUAUUGGGGUGGCAAGAAUUGCUCUUUCGGAUUUUCUCAAUGGCAUCGCGCCGGAAAAUUGUUUGCAAAUUUUGAGUUAUAAAUUGAGGAACUGGGAAGGGAGGCAAAAUGGAGUUAUUCAUUUCAGUGUGAGGGUGGUUGUGCCGGAGAAAACAUCGGCUACCGUGGCGGUUGAAAAGCAGACUGUCGCGGAUGGAAAGAAUUAUGGUGGUCGGUUAACUGGAAUGGAUGUUGGUACCAAGGACUCUAAUGGUGUUGCUAUUGGUAUUCCGUUUUGGUGGAAUUACCCAAACAUUAUUUAAAUAUUUAUAUUUAUAUUAUUUGAUUUUUUGCAUUCUUGUCAAAGAUUAAUGAAGUCAAUUUUGAUGCACAAUAUAUUAUUGUGAUACAUACAAGUGUAAAAUAUCAUUUCAACAAAUAAACUUAAUGAUCAAUCUAAGAUUCAACUUAGAUCUUAUAGAUUCUAAGUUGAUAGAUUUAAUGUUUAAAGUUGAUGUUUGCGGUCCAAGAUAUGUGCGCCUGUGAAUAUAAGUUGCAUAAAUGCAAGGAAAAAAAAAAGUAAGUAUAAGAAGCAUAAAAGUACCUUGGCUUGGCAUAGUUGGGGUCGAAUCUCGAGACCAUUUCUUGCAAUUCAUUAAUUAUUCAGGUGGUUUGAGAUCGCAACGCUCGUUUUUUCACCUUAUAUGGCUCUUAUGUGUUUGGGUGUUGUGGAAUGAGCGGAAUUAAUGAUAGAGUUUUCAGGAAUAAACAAAGCUCACUAUCGCAUAUGUUAGAUAAAGUAAAAUCAUAUUACAUGUGGUGGUUGAAAGCUAGUAACGUUGUUUCUAGUUUUGGUACUCAUAACUGGUGGUCGAACCCGCUCUUAUGUAUGAGUAUCGACUGACUAUUUUGUAAUACUGACUAGACUGUGUUUCUUUUCGUGAUUGUUUAGGCACAACUUAUGCUGCAACAAUUACGCUUUCGAUGUUAAUAUAUUUCAUUUUUACUUGUAAAAAAAAUAGUAAAAGGAAAUGGUGUAUAUUAUUAUAAGUAGUAUCGUUCAAACGUUUGUUUUUUGUAUUGUACUGCUAACACGUGUAAAUUAUGAAUAAUAUUUUUUAAGGUGAGAGAAAUACCACAAAGAGAAUAUGAUGUUACUAUGCAUUUUCAACCCUACUAUAUGAAAACCAAAUCGACACUUAUAUUUUGUCCGAAAAUAGUGGUGAUUUAUAAGGUGAGUGCUUGUUGCUUUCCUUCCAUAUUUAUUAGAUUUUUUUUUACUACAUGUAAGUAGAUUAUUAUAAAGAAUAUACGAAAUAUAGUGCAUGGUUUUAUAUUUUUAGAAAUGAUUGUUUGAGAUGAAAACGUUGGAAGAGGGUUUGAGCAAUGGGAUUUGAUUUGAUAAGAAUAUUUUCGGAAUACUAGGAAGGAAGAAGCAACUUAAUCAAANUUUUUUUUUUUUAGUAAGUACUAAAUUGAUAUUGUGUUUAGUCUAACUUCUCCUUAAAAAUAUAGAGAAGUUGGAAAAAGUCGCGUCAAACGAUACCUUAAUCUCCCACAACGGCAAUGUAGAAACAACUGAAUUUAAGAUUAUUUUUAUUAAUAUAAAAUAAAAAAGAAAAUAAUAUAAAAUAAAUAAAAAAUAAUAAAUAUAAAAAAGAAAAUAAUACAAAAGUAAAAAAAAUUGGAUGAGGUGGCAAUCCUCAAAGUUAAGAAAUUAUGGAAUUACCAAAUUGCCCCUUUUAGGGACAAAAUUGUAAAUUUAUAUGGCAUUAAUUUUAAUAAAUAGUUAGUAGAUCAUCCAAAGUUGAUCAAAGUAUAGUCUUUAUAAUUAAAAACAUAUUAGUACAGUUUCCAAAAAAAUAUAAAUUAGUGCAACAAUACUAGAUUUAAUUAAAAAAAAUACAACAAGUAAAUUCAAGAAAAAAUAAGGCAUGGGUUUUCUGUUUUUAAAGAAAAACGAAUCGAACCAUGCAUCCUAACAAUUCAAAAAAACUGAACCACACCGUUUGUGGUUUAAGACGAACCAAACCAAAUCAUUUUGCUAACUACAAGUUGAACCAAACCGAACCUAAAUCAACCUUUUGAGAGAUAAAUGUUUUGGAUACUAUUUAAAGAAUCCAUUCAUAUAAAAUUGCUAAUUUGGUUCAAAACUGUUCAUUAAAGGUUCGGUUUGGUUCAAAACGGUUAGGUUCAAAACUAAGGAUUAAGUCAAAAAACACAAUCGACUUUAAAUAUUAUCUUUAACCUCAAAGAAUACAUACAUACAAAGGAUUUGCAUUUUACUCGAUAAUUCUACUUGACUUUAAAUAUUAUCGACUUUCUCAUAUAAAAAGGUGUUAUGACUUUUCUUUAAUAUAAAAUUUAAAUUCAUUAAAAAAUUAUUUAAGAAAUCUUGACCAUUGAAUAAAAAUUUAGGAUUAUGUAAAAAAAAAAAAAAAAAAUCUUGGCUUGCUUUAGAAGAAAUCCUAAGAUUAUAAGCUAGUUGGAUUAUGUGAUGCUGACUAUGUUGAAGGCAGAAUUGAAAGAAAAAACAUCCAUGGAAAUUGUCAAUUCAUUGGUAAAAAUCUAAUCUCCUGAUCUAAUAAAAGACAAUCCAUUAUUGCAUUGUCCACAAUAGAAGUAAAAUACAAAUGAUAUGGAUGAAAAACCAAUUAGAAGACCAUCAGAUUAGUGAAACCGGUAUUCUUAUUUUUUAUUUUUUUGAUAAUAUUGUUGCUAUUUGUUUGUCUAAAAAUCAUAUUCUACACCGAAGAGCUAAGCACAUUAUAAUAAAGCAUCACUUUAUAAGAGAUUAUGUUUAGAAAUAUGUUUUAGAUAUAAAGUUCAUUGAUAUUGAUCAAUGAUAAGCUGAUAUAUUUACAAAACCCUUAACGGAAGAAAGAUUUAACUUUAUGUAGAAAAAUCUGAACAUGCAUUUUAUUCAAGAAAGAUUUAACUUUUUUUAGUUUGAUAGUAGUGUUUAUGAUGUCAGGGUCACUGUUAACUGUUUAUAGAAUGCCUGCAAUUGAUUUGCAGUUUAUACAGGAAUUCUAACUACAUGAUAAGACGGAAAGAGUAACCGUCUUAAAUUUUUUCUUAUCCUUAAACUCAACAGUCUCAAAUUCACUAGAAUUUCUAAUAAGAAUUUCUCCUCCCAUGAAAGUAAACCCUCUGUCUCCUUCACCAUUUUUGUCGUGCAAGAGUUGAGAGAUUCAGCUCGAACAACAACAUAAAUAUCUUUUGUCUUUGAAUUUUGAUCGACGCUUAUGUUUUGUCCACUAUUGGUAGCUAAAUUAUUAUGAAACAUAUAAGUAGUUUUAGGGUAUGGUUUUGUAUUUUUAGGAAUGAUUGUUUGAGAUGAAAAUGCUGGAAGAGGGUUUAAGUAAUGGAAUUUGAUACGAAAAUGUAAAGAAAGGAAGAAAUAACUAUGAAUUAAUUGUUUAAUUAAUAUUUGUAUACAAUUCAUUUAUUUACUUUAGAAAAAAAGAAUUUGUUGUCAUGAAACUACCAAGGACAAACAAUAGUAUCAUACAUUAGUAUGUACAAAAAUAUUACUCCCUCCGUCCCUAAUUAUAAGAUCCUUUGAGAAUUUUUUUUGUCCCUUUUUAUAAGACCUCUUUGUUAUUUCCAACUACAUUAAUUAUUUCUUUACAUACAUGCCCCUAUUUAUUAUACAUCUUUUUCUUCAAUCAGCAAUAAAUAGCAUAUGGAAAACAUAAACUAACUCUCUUUCUUAAGGAUAAUAUUGUAAAAACAAUAGUGAUUACAAACAACUUUAAUACAAAUAUCCACUUUCUUAAUUCCCGUGAUUUUAGCAAAAGGGUUUUAUAAUUAGGGACGGGGGAGUAGUAUAUAUAGGUAUUGACCUUGAUCUUGAUUUAAGUAUUAAUUUUAACUUAACUUAAUUGGAAAUGUCUUAGAAGUUUAAUUUUCGUGUGGCAUUGGAAAGCACUUAAAUGGUAGUACUUGUUACGUGUGUUUUGGAGGUAGACUUAUUCAAAGAUUCAAUAUUGUAAUUUAAUCUUUCUUCUGUCUCACGUAACCAUUAGUUUUUUUAUUUUUUUUUUUAUUUUUUAUGAAUUUAGUGUUUAUUAUUGUUACCCACAAUUUCCAGACACAUCAAGCUAAUUAAAUAUGUGAGGUGAGGCUUAACCUACCUUUCAAAAAUUAUGGAUCCAUCAAUCAAUCGAAAUUAACCAAAUGAGUAAAUAUAUAAAUAAUAUUCACAAAAUAAUUAACUUUAAUUUUACUUGUAAAUUUGUUUAUGUGAUUAAGGUACGUUUGGGCAAGCUUUUUUUCAGUCUAAAAACUACUUUAAAAUAAAGUUAAAAUAAAGUUCUUUAAGGAAAAAGUUAAAGCUGUUUGGUUUCUUUAUUUUUUUUAGUUUUAAAGUUAUUUUUAAGUUAAAAAGUUGUUUGACAAAAUAUUGUACAAAACUUUGAAUUUUUUUUAUUUUUUUUUUGUGGUGUCCGGGGUUCGAACCACGCGACCUUGCAUAUAUUUAUACAUUGUCUAUAUCAACUGAGCUAAGUUAGAGAAUAGUUUGUUUUUUCUUUUCCAAUUAUAUUGUAUAACAAAUUUUGUUAUAAGAAUAUCAUAUUUUUGGUGUCAUUUAAAAAGAUAAGAAUUUAUAUUAUAUAUAUUAUAUUUGUUACAUUGUAGGUGUUAUUGAAAAAGAUAUGUUUAGUUUUUUUAAUAAGAAAAAGAUAUGCAUAGUUUGUUACAAUAUAAAUGUGUAAAAUAUAUAUAAGAUACCGUUUGGCCCGACUUUUUUUUUCAGCUUUUCUAUAUUUUUAAGGAGAAGUUAGGCCAAACACAAUAUCAAUAAAGUACCUUCGAAAAAAAGUACUUUUUUUAGAAUUCAUAAAAUUGAAUGAAAUGAGCUUUAACCAAAAGUUGUUGAAUGCUACUUCAAAAAACUACUUCUCUGUAAUUUAUUUCACAAGCACUUUUCUUCAACUCACGCAGGCAACCUUCUCUUCAACAAAUUGAAAUAUAAUAUUAAAAAAUAAAAGAUAAGGUUGUCUGUGUGAGUUGAAAGAAGUGCUUGUGAAAUAAAUUACAGAGAAGUUGUUUUUUGAAGUAGAAUUCAACAACUUUUGGUUAAAACUCAUUCCAUUCAAUUUUAUGCAUUUCAAAAAAUGUGCUUUUUUUUCGAAGGUAAUUUAUUGAUAUUGUGUUUGGCCCAGCUCUCCUUAAAAAUGUAGAAAAACUUAAAAAAAAGCCGGAUCAAACGUUACCUAAUAUUGAUUGGUUGAAGCCAUGAUAUUUAAAUCUGUUCAUUGGAAAACCCUCUGUUCUCUGACCUUUCUCUAUCGCGCCGCCCCUAACCCUUUCAUCCAAAUUCUCCACCAUGUAACUCCGGUAGGUGGCGGUGCGACGAGUUCUUGCUCCGCACCAUCCUUUGUUCCGUUGGAGCCGUCGCAGAUCUCCUUUCUUGGGUCGAUUACUGCUCUUCCGGCGGCGGUUGUUUCAGGAGGUUGUAGCUUCUGACGUAGGGUGUUAUAACGGCGUGGGUGCGUUGUUUCUCCAUCGUCGUUACGUCUGCGUUUCAAAACCGGGUCUGUUUCCACGAAGAUUCGGCGGGGUCGUUUUAAAACAAGUUCUCUGUGUUCGCGUGCUGCUGCUCAUACAGUGGGUGGUUCUUGAUUCAAGGACAAACAAUAGUAUCAUACAUUAGUAUGUACAAAAAUAUUAGUAUAUAUAGGUAUUGACCUUGAUCUUGAUUUAAGUAUUAAUUUUAACUUAACUUAAUUGGAAAUGUCUUAGAAGUUUAAUUUUCGUGUGGCAUUGGAAAGCACUUAAAUGGUAGUACUUGUUACGUGUGUUUUGGAGGUAGACUUAUUCAAAGAUUCAAUAUUGUAAUUUAAUCUUUCUUCUGUCUCACGUAACCAUUAGUUAAUUUUAUUUUUUAUUUUUUUUUUUAUUUUUUUUUUAUUUAUGAAUUUAGUGUUUAUUAUUGUUACCCACAAUUUCCAGACACAUCAAGCUAAUUAAAUAUGUGAGGUGAGGCUUAACCUACCUUUCAAAAAUUAUGGAUCCAUCAAUCAAUCAAAAUUAAUCAAAUGAGUAAAUAUAUAAAUGAUAUUCACAAAAUAAUUAACUUUAAUUUUACUUGUAAAUUUGUUUAUGUGAUUAAUAUUGAUUGGUUGAAGUAUAAAUUACCCACAAUUCUCUAAAUGUAACAUAGAAAAACUAACCGUAGAUGCCAUUAUACUGCGUUAUGAUAUUAAAAAGUUUAGGCAAGUUGAGUCUCGGAGCUCACUAGAAUUAGAGCAAAUCUGAUGGUUUAAGAACACUUACAAAUAUAUUUAUAGAUCUCUCACAAAAGAUGUCUUCAUAUUAACAAUGAGAAUUGAACCUACGUUCUUACGAGAUAUCAGCGCAACUAUCGAUAGUGUACGGGAUCAAUAUUAUAGAAGAUUACAAAUAUGGGGUAUAUGACCUUGUUUUACUGUUUGAAAUCUUUUUGACUAAACAGUGGAUGAGAGAAUUAAACCAUUUUUAAUGACAGAUUCUUCCCUUCCAAUGAUGAACAGACAUGGACAAAGGUUUAUAGGAUAAGAAGGACAUGUUGAUACAACGUGGAGCCAGUGAUGUUUUCUCACACGUAAAGUAAGCAUAAUAUUGUCAUGUUGAUGACCACUUUAAAAUAAAUAUUAUUUAAAAUAUUUAUAUAUGUAUUAAAAAAUCAAUGAUUAGAAUAAAAAAUAUAUAUAUUUUUAUCAAAUUAUUCUUAUUAACUAUUGAUUUUUUCAUUAAAAAAUAUAAAUGAUCGUUCUUUCCAUAUAAUUUCAUUUCAUCUAAAAAAUACUAUAUAAUAUCAAUCAAAUAACGUCUUCAGCUUAGCAUGAAAACGGUGGAAAUUCAUUAAAAAAAACGGUGGAAAUGCAGCAGCAAAUUAAAGAGCAAUACAAAGGCAAAGUUAUAAGUCAAAAUCCAACAAAAACGGACAUUGCUUUUUCAAAUCAAAAUCCAAAUACAUUGAACCAACCAACCAAUUACACCCUUUCUUUCUUCCCCUUUUUCUCACUAGUCACCUACCAAAUCAAGAUCCCAAAACUUCUUAUAUAUUCAUACAACCACCUCAAUUCCAUCACUACAAAAUUGAAGGACGUAACAAUAUAUUCAUUCUUACACUAAUACAUAUUUUUGUGCACUAAGUUUUCUAUUCUACCAUGGUUGUGACUUCACAAACAUUAGAAAUUACGGUUAUAUCUGGUGAAAAUAUUCAUGUAACGGAGGAUGCAUACGUUGUUGUUCGAGGUGAGUCUCUUAAUUGUUACACAACAAAAACGGUGAAAGAUAAUGAUAAUUGUGGGAAAAACUCGAGUUUUCUUUCAUGGAAUGAGAAGUUUUUGUUGAACAUGCCAUUGCAUGCAAGGUCAAUCACUUUUGAGGUGCAAUGCAAGAAGUUUAAAAGUGUACGUCCUAUUGGGGUGGCAAGAAUUGCUCUUUCGGAUUUUCUCAAUGGCAUCGCGCCGGAAAAUUGUUUGCAAAUUUUGAGUUAUAAAUUGAGGAACUGGGAAGGGAGGCAAAAUGGAGUUAUUCAUUUCAGUGUGAGGGUGGUUGUGCCGGAGAAAACAUCGGCUACCGUGGCGGUUGAAAAGCAGACUGUCGCGGAUGGAAAGAAUUAUGGUGGUCGGUUAACUGGAAUGGAUGUUGGUACCAAGGACUCUAAUGGUGUUGCUAUUGGUAUUCCGUUUUGGUGGAAUUACCCAAACAUUAUUUAAAUAUUUAUAUUUAUAUUAUUUGAUUUUUUGCAUUCUUGUCAAAGAUUAAUGAAGUCAAUUUUGAUGCACAAUAUAUUAUUGUGAUACAUACAAGUGUAAAAUAUCAUUUCAACAAAUAAACUUAAUGAUCAAUCUAAGAUUCAACUUAGAUCUUAUAGAUUCUAAGUUGAUAGAUUUAAUGUUUAAAGUUGAUGUUUGCGGUCCAAGAUAUGUGCGCCUGUGAAUAUAAGUUGCAUAAAUGCAAGGAAAAAAAAAAGUAAGUAUAAGAAGCAUAAAAGUACCUUGGCUUGGCAUAGUUGGGGUCGAAUCUCGAGACCAUUUCUUGCAAUUCAUUAAUUAUUCAGGUGGUUUGAGAUCGCAACGCUCGUUUUUUCACCUUAUAUGGCUCUUAUGUGUUUGGGUGUUGUGGAAUGAGCGGAAUUAAUGAUAGAGUUUUCAGGAAUAAACAAAGCUCACUAUCGCAUAUGUUAGAUAAAGUAAAAUCAUAUUACAUGUGGUGGUUGAAAGCUAGUAACGUUGUUUCUAGUUUUGGUACUCAUAACUGGUGGUCGAACCCGCUCUUAUGUAUGAGUAUCGACUGACUAUUUUGUAAUACUGACUAGACUGUGUUUCUUUUCGUGAUUGUUUAGGCACAACUUAUGCUGCAACAAUUACGCUUUCGAUGUUAAUAUAUUUCAUUUUUACUUGUAAAAAAAAUAGUAAAAGGAAAUGGUGUAUAUUAUUAUAAGUAGUAUCGUUCAAACGUUUGUUUUUUGUAUUGUACUGCUAACACGUGUAAAUUAUGAAUAAUAUUUUUUAAGGUGAGAGAAAUACCACAAAGAGAAUAUGAUGUUACUAUGCAUUUUCAACCCUACUAUAUGAAAACCAAAUCGACACUUAUAUUUUGUCCGAAAAUAGUGGUGAUUUAUAAGGUGAGUGCUUGUUGCUUUCCUUCCAUAUUUAUUAGAUUUUUUUUUACUACAUGUAAGUAGAUUAUUAUAAAGAAUAUACGAAAUAUAGUGCAUGGUUUUAUAUUUUUAGAAAUGAUUGUUUGAGAUGAAAACGUUGGAAGAGGGUUUGAGCAAUGGGAUUUGAUUUGAUAAGAAUAUUUUCGGAAUACUAGGAAGGAAGAAGCAACUUAAUCAAAUCCCAUUGCUCAAACCCUCUUCCAACGUUUUCAUCUCAAACAAUCAUUUCUAAAAAUAUAAAACCAUGCACUAUAUUUCGUAUAUUCUUAAUAAUAAUCUACUUACCUGUAGUAAAAAAAAAAAAAAGAACUUCUAUGGUACACCCACAAUUUUGAGUGUACCGGUACUCUUGUUGCACAAAAUUUAUAAAUUAACGAUCACUUUAAUGAAAUAAAAAGGUAUUUGUCAAUAUUUAUAUUUUAGAAAACAUCAUUUCAUAAGAAAAACCAUCAUUUCAUUAUUUAUAAGGAUUAUAUUAAAAAAAAAAAAUUACAUUUUGUCAUAAAAAAUAAUCAAUAUUCAUUGUUAUGAGUAAUAAAAUUUCUUAAAAAUUAAAUUUUAUUUCGUCGAAGCUUUUGGUAAAUAAAAUUUAAUUAUCUUAGUUGUCAAUGAUAGAAAAUAAUUAUUUUUCUUCAAAAAAACAACUGAUUUAUUAUUAAUUUUACGACUUGAUGUACCGAUACACCCAAAUUCAAUGGGUGUACCAUAGAAUUUGUCUUAUGUAAAUGUUAUGUAAAUAAUUCAAUUAUUAUCUUUAAGGGAAAUUUUUAAUUCUUCUUUUUUGAGAGGAAGGUAAAAAUGUGUUCAUGAAAUUACCAAUGUCGACAAACAAUAAUAUGUAACAAAUUUCCAUACAAUUAAUUAAUAACAUAAACAGCGCAUGCAUGCAUGCCAACCGCGGAAUUUGUCUGCAACUAAUACAAAGUCAAAGUCUUCAACGAAAACGUAUAUUUUGCUUUUUCAAACCAAAUUUCAAUUACAUUGAAACCACAAACCAAUUACACUCGUAUUUCUCUCCCUCUUUCUCAUCACUUUCCAUAUCAAAAUCCCAAACCUUAAGCUUAUUAUAUAUUUACACAACUUAUAACAUAACACCUCAAUUCACUCACAAUAAACUUGAAGGACAUAACAAUAUCCAUUCAUUCUUACACCAGCUAACAGGAAGUUUUAUUCACAACUAACAUUAAAUUCUCUACUAUGGGUGUAGCCUCACGCACAUUAGAAAUCACGGUUAUAUCCGGCGAAAAUAUUCAUGUAACCGAAGAUGCAUACGUUGUCGUUCGAGGUGAGUCUCUUAAUUGUUACACAACGAAGACGCUGAAAGAUAACAACGAUAAUUGUGGAAAAAAUUCGAGUUUCCUUUCAUGGAAUGAAAAGUUUUUGUUGAACAUGCCAUUGCAUGCAAGGUCAAUUACGUUUGAGGUGCAAUGCAAGAAGUUUAAAAGUGUUCGUCCUAUUGGGGUAGCAAGAAUUGGCGUUUCGGAUUUUCUUAAUGGCACCGUGCCGGAAAAUUGUUCGCAAAUUUUGAGUUAUAAAUUGAGGGAUUGGGAAGGGAGGCAAAAUGGGGUUAUUCAUUUUAGUGUGAGGGUGGUUGUGCCGGAGGAAAGAUCGGUUACCGUGGCGGAGAAGCAAACGGUGAUGCAUGGAAAGAAUUGUGGUGGCCGGUUAACUGGAAUGGAUAUUGUUGGUGUCAAGAACUCUAAUGGUGUUGCUAUUGGUUUUCCCUUUUGAUGGAAUUACCCUAACAUUAUUUAAGAUUUGUAUUUUUUACAUUAUUUCAUUUUUUUGCAUGCUUGUUAAAGAUUGAUGAACUCAAUUUUUUAAUGCACAACAUUUACUAUUGUAGUAUAUAUACUUAUCUUAUACAAUCUACCUAAAGUCAUGAGUCUUAAUCCCUUUUUUGUUAGGGCCAUAGAAUACUGUUGUACUAUUUCAUUUCUCAAGUUUUAAUUUCUUGUAAAUAACAACAUUUUUAACAGAGUUACUUAUUUGUUUUCUUUGUAAUUUGUUCUUCAUUGUAUUAUAAUUGAAUUUAACAUCUCGAAAAGAAAAAUUAACGGCUAAUAAAAAGUAGACUAAUAUUCAAUUUAGUCCCUCGCAAUUUGUUCACCACUCAAUUCAGUUGAUCGAAGGUGUGGUGUGAAGCAACUUCAAAGGUGGUUCAUGGUUAUCACUAAUGGGUACUAUACGUUCAAAGACACUCCAAUGUUUAACUCAGUGAGGUUUCAAGGUGAUUUUAAGGGAUUUCUCAAAAUGAGAGUGUGUACCUUAUUUCAGCAUGGAUAUAUCAAUUACGUUGUACCCUUAUGGCUUGGUGGUUGGGCAAUCAUUUAAUCAUAAAUUGGGCUCAAAUAUGCUCCACGCGCAUUAUUUGGAGCAUUGAUGCAUGUAGUUCACAAUUGUAAAUGGAUGCAUGAUGGUCGGAUUUAGGCAAGUGCACCAAAUAAUUUAUCAAGUAAUAAAGUGUAAACAGAGUAUCGUAUUUAUAAGAAUUGUCGUUCUAACUAGCCAAUUUCCAUUACUUAUUUGGGAACCGAAAAUAAUAAAUAAAAUAGUAAAAUAAAAGAUAAAAGGGGUUUUUACAAUUUAGUAUGUUUGCAACAGAGCAGGGCCGUUCCUAUGAAAUAGGAGGCUCGACUCUCAUAGUAAAAUAGACCCUCAGUAAAUUAAAAAUGCAAUUUUUUAAAACUUUUUAAUCCUAAGAGGCAAUUUAAGAGGCAUAAAGGAAGACUAAAAAAAAAUUUAGAACAUAAAAUUUAGGAGGCAUAUAUUAGCAACAUAUACCAAAAUUUGUCAACAUUCAACGUCCAUCAUAUAACAAAAUUAGCAAUUAUAUUUUUCAACCUUCAACAUAUAACAAAAAUUUCGACAUUCAACAUAUAUUAUUAGAACUAUAUAUUUACAACAUUUAACAAAAUUAGCAAUUAUACACUGAAAUUUUAAAAAGUAAUUACUAAUACGCCUUAAGCAACGUAUAACAAAAUUCAUGUAGAUAAGCUUCAUUAAAAAAUCAUAAUCAGAAUAACUACUAAACAUGAAACGAAAUAAAAAAUAUUAAGCGAAAGAGAUGUGUUAAGUGAGAGGAAGAAACUCAAACGUGUAUUUUGGAGGCUUGGUUGAGCUUCUUGCAUAUCCCCAAGACCGUGCCUGCAACAGAGCAAGGGUUUAGGAGUUAACCUGCUUUUGAUUGUAGAAUGUUAGCGGCAGUUAGGAUUCUUCAAAUCCCCUCUAUUUAUUUGUUAGAAUUAGUUAAUGGUCAAACAUUAUUCAUUUUCUUAUGUCUUCUAUAAGUGAUGAGUUCGUGGGAUUUUCGUAGUUUUUUUUUUUUUUUUUUUUUUUAUGAAUUUAGUGUUUAACAUUAUUACGCACAAUUUCCAGACACAUUAAGCUAAGCAAAUAUGUGAGGUGAUGCUUAAACUACCUUUCAAAAAUUAUGGAUCCAUCAAAUCAAUCAAAAUUAACCAAAUGAGUAAGUAUGUAAAUGAUAUACACGAAAUAAUUAACUUUCAUUUUACUUGUAAAUUUGUUUAUGUGAUUAAUGUUGAUUGGUUGAAGUAUAAAUUACCCACAAUAUGUAAAUGUAAUAUAGAAAAACUAAUAGUACAUAACAUCGUACUACGUAAUAUGAUAUUAAAAAGUUUAGACGAAUUGAAUCUUGAAGCUCAUUAGAAUUAGGACAAAUCUAAUGGUUUAAGAACACUUACAAAUAUACUUAAUUAGUGAUCCUCCAUAAAAUAAGUCUUCACGUCAACAAUAAAAAUUAAACUCAUAUUCUUGCAGAAUAUGUGCUCAAUUUCUUACCCAUAAAAUCAACUUACAUUCAAAGCGUCUUGAAUCCUUUAUUUAUAGGAUCAAUAUUACAAAAAGUUACAAAUGUCACAAAAGCCAUAAUAAAUGUACACUAUCAUCAGCACUUAUGGGUGUCUUCCAAAAUCAUUGUUAAUUGUAUUUAACUCGUAGACAUCCAUAUACUAUAAUCUUAUGGGUGUUUUCCAAUGCUUGAAAUCUUUUUGACUAAACAGUAGAUGAGAGAAUUAAAGCAUUUUUAAUGACAGAUCCUUCCCUUCCAAUGAUGAACAGACAUGGACAAAGGUUUAUAGGAUAAGAAGGACAUGUUGAUACAACGUGGAGUUGCUCUUUGAUGAGAGGGAGCCAGUGAUGUUUUCUCACACGUAAAGUAAGCAUAAUAUUGUCAUACUCAUGACUACUUCAACCACUAUUUUCAUCUAACGAUUCAAAUUCAAACAACUAAUUAUUUGCUAUAGUCUACUCCCUCAUUUCAAAAUAAUACUCCCUUUCGUUUUAUUUACAAGAGAAAGUUGACUUUUUAGAUACAUCGAAUAAUAUAUAUAUUUAGUCAAGAACUUAAACCAAAUACAUAAAUUAUUUAAUGUAUCUAAAAAGUAAAUUGUCUCUUGUAAAUAGGACCGGAGGGAAUAUUAUUUAAAAUAUUCAUACAAUAUUAAAAAAUGCAAUGAUAAAUAUAUAUAUAUAUAUAUAUAUAUAUAUAUAUAUACAUAUAUAUAUCUUUAUCAAAUUAUUCUUAUUAACUAUUAAUUUUUUUCCCCUAAAAAAAAUAAAUGGUCGGUCUUUCCAUAUAAUUUCAUUUCAUCUAAAAAAUACUUACAAAAUCAAUCAAAUAACGUCUUCAGCAUCCUCCUGAGCGUAGCUCAAUUGACAAAAACAUGCAUUGUUAUAUGUCAGACUCCUCAUUUAUUCACCUUACAAAAUGUAAAUUCUACCCACUGGACUAUUUAACAAAAAAAAAAUAGCUUCAUCAGCUUAGCAUGAAAACGGUGGAAAUUCAUUAAUAAAAAAAGUUGGAAAUGCAGCCGUAAAUUAAAGAGCAAUACAAAGGCAAAGUUAUAAGUCAAAACCAACAAAAACGGACAUUGCUUUUCCAAAUCAUAAUUCAAAUACAUUGAACCAACCAACCAAUUACACUCUUUCUUUCUUCCCCUCUUUCUCACCGGUCACCUACCAAAUCAAGAUCCCAAAACUUAUUAUAUAUUCACACAACCACCUCAAUUCCAUCACUACAAAAUUGAAGGACAUAACAAUAUAUUCAUUCUUACACUAAUACAUAUUUUCGUGCACUAAGUUUUCUACCAUGGUUGUGGCUUCACAAACAUUAGAAAUUACGAUUAUAUCUGGAGAAAAUAUUCAUGUAACAGAGGAUGCAUACGUUGUUGUUCGAGGUGAGUCUCUUAAUUGU